rnacentral:rRNA from 1 species
UCCCGUUGAUCCUGCCAGACCCGACUGCUAUCAGAGUGGGACUAAGCCAUGCGAGUCAACGCCGUAAGGCGUGGCAUACGGCUCAGUAACACGUAGUCAACAUGCCCAAGGGACGUGGAUAACCUCGGGAAACUGAGGAUAAACCGCGAUAGGCCAAGAUUUCUGGAAUGGAUCAUGGCCGAAAUCUAUAUGGCCCUUGGAUUGGACUGCGGCCGAUCAGGCUGUUGGUGAGGUAAUGGCCCACCAAACCUAUAACCGGUACGGGCUUUGAGAGAAGGAGCCCGGAGAUGGGCACUGAGACAAGGGCCCAGGCCCUAUGGGGCGCAGCAGGCGCGAAAACUCUGCAAUAGGCGAAAGCUUGACAGGGUUACUCUGAGUGAUGCCCGCUAAGGGCAUCUUUUGGUACCUCUAAAAAUGGUGCAGAAUAAGGGGUGGGCAAGUCUGGUGCCAGCAGCCGCGGUAAU